rnacentral:misc_RNA from 1 species
AGCAGCCGCGGUAAUUCCAGCUCCAAUAGCGUAUAUUAAAGUUGUUGCAGUUAAAAGCUCGUAGUUGAAUUUCGGGAUCAAUUAAUCGGUCGUGCCUCUGGUACGCACUGGUUUUAUUGGUUUCUCCCUUCUGACGAACCAGGAUGUCAUUAAUUUGGUGUCUUGGAGAAUCAGGACUGUUACUUUGAAAAAUUGAGUGUUUAAAGCAGGCUAACGCUUGAAUACAUUAGCAUGGAAUAAUGAAAUAGGACGUUUGAUCCUAU